ensembl:lncRNA LINC01471 long intergenic non-protein coding RNA 1471
AGAGGUGGGGGACAGAGUGGGUGGGGAGGGGAGCCGCCAUACAGUGGCCAGGACCAGCUUUGCCCAAGUGGUGGCAACCGCAUGACCACAGGAACGAUGGCGUGAGCCCCGUGGCAACCUGGAGGAAGGCACCCCUCAGCACUGGCCUGUGUGGGCAGCGUGAGCACAGAGAGCAGGAGCUUGCCCUCAGAGGCUUCAGGGGGUCGCUUGUACCCAGUGGUAUGGUCAGCAUCAUGUUUGACCAAAGGGAGGAAGGUGGCUGUGACCAGAGCGAGGGGGGGUCCUGAUGCAGCUGGGGAGUCAGGCUCGAGUGCAUGCUGUGCAUGUUCUCUGCCUCUCUUCCUGGGGGGCAGGCGAGUCUCCAGAGCCUGGAGGACAAGUUAGCCUUGCGAAGGAUAGCAGAGGACCCAGCCCAGGGGUCCCCAAAAUGGAGCACCAACCCUCCAUGCAGGCCAAGCCACUGGUGAAUAUGCUGCAAAAAAUAUGCUGGAACUUCUAUGAAUACCACAGGGUGUGAGAAGAAAACAUUAGAACUUCUAUUUUGUACCUGUGUUACUCCACAACAAGAAAGCAAUCAGCUUGAUCAAUGCCUACUGUAAAGACGGCACCGCCCUCCGGAGGUCCUUUCUCAGCCCUGGUGUUCGGACAGCCACAUCCCCUCGCAGCAGGGGGAGGCCUGAAGCAUAGAGGGGCCCAUGCAGGUCUAUUCUGUUUCAGCGAAUUGCCUGGGAAAUAAUCCAGGAUCCAUUUCGUGUGGUCAUCUUGUCUCCCUGGUCCCCUCCAGCCUUUCCUCAUCUUUUGUGACCUGGUCACUCUGGAAGGGCGCUGGCCAGUUAGUCCACAGGAUGGGCCUCCCCUGGGGCUUUUCUGAUGCUUCCUUAUGAUGGCACUGGCAUCCUGAGGGGGAGGACCACAGAGAGGAGGUGCUCCUCAUCACACCACAUGGGGGUCCAUGCACCAGUGCCACUGCUUUCCAGGGCUCUUCACCUUCAUCACUGGUGGAGGUGGCGUCUGCCAAGAAGCAGAAAGUUGAGGCUUAGAAGGUGCACGGCCCUACCUCUUCCGAGGUGCCCCUGCGGGCUGUCUACAGACCAGGCAGCACAUGCCUGAUAGCAGCUGCAUAAGGAAAAGCAGGAGCCAGCUCGUGCACAGUGGCCUCAAGUGUGCACUGGGCAUGUUCUCUGCCUCACCAUCCCUGUGUGACAGAUGAAGCAUGGCAAGCCAGGCUCCAGAGAAGCAUCCUGAGGACCAGUGUUCCUAGGGACCUCAUUCUUCUGACCUCAUUCCUACAACGUUUUGUCACUGCAAAGGAAAUCACCAAGGCCAGCAUGACAGCCCUCAACAGAAGCCAAGGCCAAGUCCUCGAACUUCCUAGUCUGCACAAUGACAAGUGAGCUCAUGGAAACCUCUCCAUCGUUGACCAGGAUCUAUAGGAAAACCCUCCUCUUCUUCUAUAUGCAAAGGCUGCACAGCUCCUGGUUCACCUGCACCUCUCCAGACCACCAUGGUGCCUGCAGCUCUGAGGGCAUUUUAAAUCAUCACAGAACAACAAGCAUAUAAGCAUCAUGAGCGCCUCUGGACCUCUGACGUGCCUUGUGGAGGCCUGCCAGGCCCACGUUUUAAUUUACAUGAACUCGAUGCCCUUUUUGACAGGGAGAGAUCUGUUUCUUUAUUUGUUAGCCUUUCCCCUGGACCUGCUAGAUCUGGACCAUCCCCAGGAAAGGAAGGUCACACCACAAAGAUAAAUAUAAACAAAAUGAGUUAAUUAAGAA